GAUGAACGCUGGCGGCGUGCCUAAUACAUGCAAGUCGAGCGAACGGACGAGAAGCUUGCUUCUCUGAUGUUAGCGGCGGACGGGUGAGUAACACGUGGAUAACCUACCUAUAAGACUGGGAUAACUUCGGGAAACCGGAGCUAAUACCGGAUAAUAUUUUGAACCGCAUGGUUCAAAAGUGAAAGACGGUCUUGCUGUCACUUAUAGAUGGAUCCGCGCUGCAUUAGCUAGUUGGUAAGGUAACGGCUUACCAAGGCAACGAUGCAUAGCCGACCUGAGAGGGUGAUCGGCCACACUGGAACUGAGACACGGUCCAGACUCCUACGGGAGGCAGCAGUAGGGACUCUUCCGAAAUGGGCGAAAGCCUGACGGAGCAACGCCGCGUGAGUGAUGAAGGUCUUCGGAUCGUAAAACUCUGUUAUUAGGGAAGAACAUAUGUGUAAGUAACUGUGCACAUCUUGACGGUACCUAAUCAGAAAGCCACGGCUAACUACGU
rnacentral:rRNA from 1 species